CUUAAAUAUAUAUUCCCUCUCUCACUAAUUUCUUAGUCAAAGUCUAGGGUAUUAAUGUAAUUCACUAAUUCCUUCGUCAAUGUCGACGGUAUUAAUUAAUGCAUGUCUUUUCCUCCGGCCAUCUUGUGAUCUCAACCUUAUGUAUAUAGUAUUCUCAUGUGCUGUUCUUGCGUACUGUAACACGAGAGAGAGAGAGACAGAGAGAGAGAGAUCGAUCAUGAAGGUGUUGUGGUUUCUUGUACGCUUGUGUGUUUUUCUGCUGAUCUUCCUGCAUGCAUCCUUUGGUAGUACUGAAGAACGGGGUAAAGAAUAUCGUGCUUUUUUUCAUCCUGCUCUAGCAGGCCACGGGAGCUAUGGCCGCGAGCCCUAUGGCCCGAUCAGAGGUAGUCCAUCACCACCCAUCGGAGGGCCCACAAGCCACCCAUGAGAUCAUCAAUCACAUGCACCUACCUUGCUAGUUCAAUAAAUCAAGCUGCAUACUAAUUAAUAUAAUAUAGAUAUAUAUAUGUUUAAUAAAGAGAUGAUGAAACAGCAGAUAUUAUAUAUAGCCUAUAUGCAGGCUGAGAUCAUUUCUUGUAUGAAACUUAAUUUGCAAUUAAUUAUCUAGUGAGUUAAUUAUUUCCAUC